GACGAACGCUGGCGGCGUGCUUAACACAUGCAAGUCGAACGGAAAGGCCCUGCUUUUGUGGGGUGCUCGAGUGGCGAACGGGUGAGUAACACGUGAGUAACCUGCCCUUUACUUUGGGAUAACUUCAGGAAACUGGUGCUAAUACCGGAUAGUAGCUCCUGCUGCAUGGGGGGGUUUGGAAAGUUGCGGCGGUUGGGGGUGGAGGGCCGGCUUACUAGCUGGUUGGUGGGGGAGUGGCUUACCAAGGCUUUGACGGCUAGCCGGCCUGAGAGGGUGACCGGCGACAUUGGGCCUGAGGUACGGCGCAGAGGAGUACGGGAGGCAGUAGUGGGGAAUAUGGCACAAUGGGGGGGCGUCUGAUGAAGAAGUGCCGCGUGCGGGAUGAAGGCUUUCGGGUUGUAAACCGCUUUAGCCUGAGAAGUAGCGUGAGUGACGGUAAUGGGUAAAGAAGCACCGGCUAACUACGUG
rnacentral:rRNA from 1 species